UAUUGUAAUCCCGUAUCCCGUAUGCAUGUAUACACUAUACACAUGGUGGAAUUAUUGUCGCGGGGGCUUUGGUUUGUGUUUACGCCCUCGAAAAUAAUGUCAUCGAUCGUUUAAACCGCGACAACAUAAUAUUAUUAUUAAACCCAAGGAAUUUAUCCAACGCACGACCGCGGAAAUGAUAACACCUAACCACAUAAUCACACCGAUAAGAGAUAAAUACGGGUAAAACGUUUUGAAUAUUAUCCUGCGUUUUAAGCCCGGCCCUAACGAUGCGUUAGUUACCUAGCGCCUAUCGCGAUUGUUGCGAAAUACGCAACUGUGAUAAAGGCAAGAUUUUUUUCACGGAGAGCCGUGUUUCUGGAUACGGUGUCUCUGUGGCAGUCACUAUC